AGAGUUUGAUCAUGGCUCAGAGCGAACGUUAGCGGCGGGCCUAACACAUGCAAGUCGAACGAGAAUGUAGGCUUCGGUCUACUAGUAAAGUGGCAGACGGGUGCGUAACACGUGGGUAAUCUACCUUCCGGCGGGGGACAACAGUCCGAAAGGAUUGCUAAUACCGCGUACGUCAGCGGCGCCUACGGGCGCUGUUGGGAAAGAUGGCCUCUCCUUGGAAGCUAUCACCGGAAGAUGAGCCCGCGCCCCAUCAGCUAGUUGGUGAGGUAAUGGCUCACCAAGGCUAAGACGGGUAGCUGGUCUGAGAGGAUGAUCAGCCACACUGGGACUGCGACACGGCCCAGACUCCUACGGGAGGCAGCAGUGGGGAAUAUUGGGCAAUGGGCGAAAGCCUGACCCAGCCACGCCGCGUGAGUGAUGAAGGCCUUCGGGUCGUAAAGCUCUGUGGGGAGGGACGAACAAACUCUGGGCUAAUCACCAGGGUCCUGACGGUACCUCCUUAGCAAGCACCGGCUAACCCUGUGCCAGCAGCCGCGGUAAUACAGGGGGUGCAAACGUUGCUCGGAAUCAUUGGGCGUAAAGCGCACGUAGGCGGUCUGUUAUGUCGGAUGUGAAAGCCCUUGGCUUAACUGAGGAAGUGCAUCCGAAACUGGCAGGCUAGAGUACUAAAGAGGGUCGCGGAAUUCCCGGUGUAGAGGUGAAAUUCGUAGAUAUCGGGAGGAGCACCGGUGGCGAAGGCGGCGACCUGGGUAGAUACUGACGCUGAGGUGCGAAAGCGUGGGGAGCAAACAGGAUUAGAUACCCCAGUAGUCC
rnacentral:rRNA from 1 species